UGAGGAAUAUUGGACAAUGGAUGGAAAUCUGAUCCAGCCAUGCCGCGUGCAGGAAGACGGCCCUAUGGGUUGUAAACUGCUUUUGUAUGGGAGCAAUAAGAUCUACGUGUAGAUUGAUGAGAGUACCAUACGAAUAAGCACCGGCUAACUCCGUGCCAGCAGCCGCGGUAAUA
rnacentral:rRNA from 1 species